rnacentral:snoRNA from 14 species
AGGUAUGCAUAUGGGAGGCAGGCUGUAAAACCAAACGCUCUUAAUGCUGUGACCAAAGGUUAACGUUCUUCACAGGGCAAAUCGGGCACUUUUUGAUAGUGCCAGGCUUUUCUGAGAAGAUAACAUG